rnacentral:rRNA from 1 species
UGGGGAAUAUUGCACAAUGGAGGGAACUCUGAUGCAGCGACGCCGCGUGAACGAAGAAGGCUUUCGAGUCGUAAAGUUCUUUUAUAUGGGAAGAUAAUGACGGUACCAUAAGAAAAAGCCCCGGCUAACUACGUGCCAGCAGCCGCGGUAAUACGUAGGGGGCUAGCGUUGUCCGGAAUCACUGGGCGUAAAGGGUUCGCAGGCGGAAAUGCAAGUCAGGUGUAAAAGGCAGUAGCUUAACUACUGUAAGCAUUUGAAACUGCAUAUCUUGAGAAGAGUAGAGGUAAGUGGAAUUUUUAGUGUAGCGGUGAAAUGCGUAGAUAUUAAAAAGAAUACCGGUGGCGAAGGCGGCUUACUGGGCUCAUUCUGACGCUGAGGAACGAAAGCGUGGGUAGCAAACAG